GACGUGGUGGUCUAGAGGUAUGAUUCCUUCUUAGGGGUUUAUUGUUAAAUGAAUCAUGUGGGGGAGGUCCUGGGUUCAAUUCCCGGCCAGGCCC